GCCAGAGAAGCAAUGCUAAUGACUCUGGCUCCACGUGGCGACCAUUCAGGAAAAAAAAAAAAAAAGCUGCAAUGUUCCCUCUGUCACAUUAAUCAGAGAAACACAUAGAGAGCCGGUUGCAUGGAGACAGCUUUCCUCCUGGUACCUGCCCUGCAUGCUAAUCACCUCUCCUCCUGGCAGUGAGUCAGCUCAGAGCCUUGGCUGGUGGCAGUGAGGACCGGCCAGAAGCACCAGCUCCACUCAGGUGUGACAGCCAGAGUUGUGGUACUUCCCACCUUACCCCAGACACCCCUCACCCCAAUGCCCAUUGUCUACCAUCAUCCAUCCCCUGGCGUGAAUUCUGGGCCGCUUCCUUUGCCACUUAAGACUUCCCUCCCAGGUCCAAAGGGAAUUCUGUAGCAACUAGUUUCUGAUCAGAGUCUAAUGGAAGUGAGAGGGGACUCACUGGAGGGCACUUGGAGAACAAUGACAUCACCUUACAUGGUGUUCAGUGUGUGGCAGGCACAAACACCAGCAGUCUAGACAGAUUAGCUCAUUUGGUUCUUAUGUAACCUUACAGAUUUUUCACAGACAUGACUCUGAAUUUACAGGUAAACUCACACAGAGAAGUUUCAGAACCAAGCCAAGGUCACACAGCUGUAACUAGCCCAAGGAGACUGAAACAUUGCCUCCCAUUGUUCUCCCUGUGCCUGGAUCUCCUGAACACAGUAAUGUCUCUGAAUAUUGUUACAUGUACAAGUCAUUCAUUCAUUCAUCCAUCCAUCCAUCCAGCCAUCCAUCCAGCCAUCCAUCCAUCCAUUCACAGAGAAGCUAUUUGUUGAGUACCUAGUGUCUACCAGGCACAGAACUGGGCAUCAGGGAGUUAUCAGUAAAUGAAAGAGACCACAGAGUUAAGGGAAGGUUGACAGGGAUUUCACAAAUCGGCAGUAAAUGAAAAGUGUGGUGAAUGUCAUGUAGAGCCAGUUCCCAUGAAAAUGGGUAUCAUUAGUGGGUCCCUCAUUUCUUCUCGGGGUCCAGGAAGCUUCCUCGAAGAAAUAACAUGGAGCAGAGACGGACAUUCCUCACACUUUCAUCUCCGUGCCCAGACAUUGGUGUCCGUGGCCAUUAUGCUGGCAACAGAAGCAGCAAAAGGGAAUUGGUUGCUGCACGCCUUCAAUCCCAGCACUCAGGAGGCAGAGGAGGGUGGCUCUCUGGCCAGCCUGGUCUACAGAGUGAGUUCUAGGACAGCCAGAGCUGUUACAGAGAAACUCUGUCUUGUGGGGGGGGGGAGAAUUUGUUUAGAAAGGCAGGCACCCCAGCUGGUGUGGUGUUGAAUACGUGUUAUCCCAACAUUCAAGAGGUGGAGGCAGGAGGAUCCUGAGUCCCAGGCCAGCCUAGGCUGUUGUGAGCCCCUGUAUCAAAGAAGACAUGCAAACUCUCAGGCUCCACCCCUGACCUGCUAAGAGCACAGGAUUGUGGAAAGAUCGUGUGCCUUGGCCUGGUGACUCUGGCUUCACCCCAGGUCUGAAGCAGGGCCAGCUCUCCUGGGGAGAGGGGAACAGGAAGGGCCUGGAGGAAGGUAGAAAGACAGUCCCUCUGGAGAUCCUUGCGGCUGCAUUUCCUCAGCUUCCCUUGUCCCUGCUUGGGGCACAUCACCUCUACUACAAGCCUGCAGGUGUGUGAGGGCAGAGUGGCCUGAGAUGGCCUGGACUGGACAGGGACUGGCCUGUAGGUAUGGGAAGCAGCUCUGCCCUGAGUCAUCUUUCAACCAGGAAGCUUGGCCAGAGGGGACCCUGAAGGAACAGCAAGUCACUGAGUUGAAUUUUCAGACCUGAGUGUAUAUUGACUCUCUCUGCUGGCAGCACAUCAAGAUGUGGAGUUGCCCUGGCUCUGUACUGGGCUUUCUACAGGAUGCCGAAGGAAGGACCUGGAGGAAGCCGGGACAAUGGCUAUCACAGGACGCAGAUGCCAGGGACAGGAAAGAAGAGAAAAUGAAGGACUAGAGAGAUGGCUCAGAGGUUAAGAGCACUGGCUGCCCUUCCAGAAGUCCUGAGUUCA